rnacentral:misc_RNA from 1 species
UACGAAGGGGGCAAGCGUUGUCCGGAAUUACUGGGCGUAAAGCGUGCGUAGGCGGAUUAGCAAGUCAGGGGUGAAAUCCCGGGGCUCAACCCCGGAACUGCCUUUGAAACUGCUAGUCUAGAGUCCGUGAGAGGAUAGUGGAACUCCUAGUGUAGAGGUGAAAUUCGUAGAUAUUAGGAAGAACACCAGUGGCGAAGGCGACUAUCUGGCACGGUACUGACGCUCAGGCACGAAAGCGUGGGGAGCAAACAGG